GACGUAGGGCGCGAGCGUUGUCCGGAUUUAUUGGGCGUAAAGAGCUCGUAGGCGGCUUGUUGCGUCGGCUGUGAAAACCCGCGGCUUAACCGUGGGCUUGCAGCCGAUACGGGCGGGCUGGAGUUCGGUAGGGGAGACUGGAAUUCCUGGUGUAGCGGUGAAAUGCGCAGAUAUCAGGAGGAACACCAGUGGCGAAGGCGACUACCUGGCCUGUUCUUGACGCUGAGGCGCGAAAGCUAGGGGAGCAAACGGG
rnacentral:rRNA from 1 species